rnacentral:rRNA from 1 species
CAAGUCGAGGGGAAACGACAUCGAAAGCUUGCUUUCGGUGGGCGUCGACCGGCGCACGGGUGAGUAACGCGUAUCCAACCUGCCCACCACUUGGGGAUAACCUUUCGAAAGAAAGAUUAAUACCUGAUAGUAUGGUGAGAUUGCAUGAUAGCACCAUUAAAGAUUUAUUGGUAAACGAUGGGGAUGCGUUCCAUUAGGUAGUAGGCGGGGUAACGGCCCACCUAGCCGACGAUGGAUAGGGGUUCUGAGAGGAAGGUCCCCACAUUGGAACUGAGACACGGUCCAAACUCC